rnacentral:rRNA from 1 species
UACGGAAGGGGCAAGCGUUGUUCGGAAUCAUUGGGCGUAAAGAGCGUGUAGGCGGCUCGAUAAGUCCGCUGUGAAAAGUCCAGGGCUCAACCCCUGGGAUGCCGGUGGAUACUGUCGGGCUCGAGUCCGGAAGAGGCGAGGUGGGAAUUCCUGGUGUAGGCGGUGAAAUGACGCAGAUAUCAGGAGGAACACCAAUGGCGAAGGCAGCUCGCUGGGACGUGACUGACGCUGAGACGCGAAAGCGUGGGAGCAAACAGG